rnacentral:rRNA from 1 species
GACGAACGCUGGCGGCGUGCCUAAUACAUGCAAGUCGAACGCUGAAGGAGGAGCUUGCUUCUCUGGAUGAGUUGCGAACGGGUGAGUAACGCGUAGGUAACCUGCCUGGUAGCGGGGGAUAACUAUUGGAAACGAUAGCUAAUACCGCAUAAGAGUAGAUGUCGCAUGACAUUUGCUUAAAAGGUGCAAUUGCAUCACUACCAGAUGGACCUGCGUUGUAUUAGCUAGUUGGUGAGGUAACGGCUCACCAAGGCAACGAUACAUAGCCGACCUGAGAGGGGGAUCGGCCACACUGGGACUGAGACACGGCCCAGACUCCUACGGGAGGCAGCAGGAGGGAAUCUUGGGCAAUGGACGGAAGUCUGACCGAGCAACGCCGCGUGAGGGAAGAAGGGUGUCGGGUCGGAAAGCUCUGUUGUAAGGGAAGGAAGAGUGUGAGAGUGGAAAGUUCACACUGUGACGGUAUCUGACCAGAAAGGGACGGCUAACUACGUG